rnacentral:rRNA from 1 species
UCAGAUUGAACGCUGGCGGCAGGCCUAACACAUGCAAGUCGAGCGGAACGGCAGCAUUGAAGCUUCGGUGGAUUUGCUGGACGUCGAGCGGCGGACGGGUGAGUAACGGCUGGGAACCUGCCCUGACGCGGGGGAUAACCGUUGGAAACGACGGCUAAUACCGCAUAAUGUCUUAGUUCAUUACGAGCUGGGACCAAAGGUGGCCUCUACAUGUAAGCUAUCGCGUUGGGAUGGGCCCAGUUAGGAUUAGCUAGUUGGUAAGGUAAUGGCUUACCAAGGCGACGAUCCUUAGCUGGUUUGAGAGGAUGAUCAGCCACACUGGGACUGAGACACGGCCCAGACUCCUACGGGAGGCAGCAGUGGGGAAUAUUGCACAAUGGGGGAGACCCUGAUGCAGCCAUGCCGCGUGUGUGAAGAAGGCCUUCGGGUUGUAAAGCACUUUCAGCAGUGAGGAAGGUGGUGUACUUAAUAAGUGCAUGGCUUGACGUUAGCUGCAGAAGAAGCACCGGCUAACUCCGUGCCAGCAGCCGCGGUAAUACGGAGGGUGCGAGCGUUAAUCGGAAUUACUGGGCGUAAGCGCAUGCAGGCGGUUUGUUAAGUCAGAUGUGAAAGCCCGGGGCUCAACCUCGGAACCGCAUUUGAAACUGGCAGGCUAGAGUCUUGUAGAGGGGGGUAGAAUUUCAGGUGUAGCGGUGAAAUGCGUAGAGAUCUGAAGGAAUACCAGUGGCGAAGGCGGCCCCCUGGACAAAGACUGACGCUCAGAUGCGAAAGCGUGGGUAGCAAACAGGAUUAGAUACCCUGGUAGUCCACGCCGUAAACGCUGUCUACUUGGAGGUUGAGGUUUA